UACGUAGGGGGCAAGCGUUGUCCGGAUUCAUUGGGCGUAAAGAGCUCGUAGGCGGUUUGCCAAGCCGGUGGUGAAAACUCGGGACUCAACUCCGAGCCUGCCACCGGAACUGGCAGACUUGAGUCUGGUAGGGGAGUGUGGAAUUCCUGGUGUAGCGGUGGAAUGCGCAGAUAUCAGGAGGAACACCGGUGGCGAAGGCGGCACUCUGGGCCAGUACUGACGCUGAGGAGCGAAAGCUAGGGGAGCAAACAGGAUUAGAUACCCUGGUAGUCCUAGCCGUAAACGAUGGGUACUAGGUGUGGGGGAGUAUUGACCUCUUCCGUGCCGUCGCUAACGCAUUAAGUACCCCGCCUGGGGAGUACGGCCGCAAGGCUAAA
rnacentral:rRNA from 1 species